rnacentral:rRNA from 1 species
UACGAGGGGUGCUAGCGUUGCUCGGAAUUAUUGGGCGUAAAGGGUAGGUAGGUGGUCUCAUUUGUCUCAUGUGAAAGCCUUGAGCUUAACUCAAGAAGUGCGUGAGAAACGGUGAGACUAGAGUACUGGAGAGGCUAGUGGAAUUCCCGGUGUAGCGGUGAAAUGCGUAGAGAUCGGGAGGAACACCAGAGGCGAAGGCGGCUAGCUGGACAGUAACUGACACUCAACUACGAAAGCGUGGGGAGCAAACCGG